GUAGUAUUAGCACCAAUUCCCCAGAUGUAGUCAUAUAUUGGCUGUGGAAUAUUAUACUCACUAGCACUAAUUGCUACUGUGAAUCCAUCAUUCUCUGGAGCUCAGGAGCUUUUGAGCUGUUACCGUUGUGGAUGGUUUAAUUUCGGGAGCAGUUUGAGCUUUUCUGCCACCUUGUCCACUUUUGCCAUUAUUGUUAUUAUUAUUUUUAUUAUUGCGCUGGGACGGCCGCUGAAAGUUACUUGCCCGCUGGGAUGGUAAGCGGGUAUUGUCUCCCUGACCAGUUGAAAUACCAAAAGUGCUGGUUGAAGCCUCCUUCAUUGUAGUUUGCUAUCCGACUCGCAUUUCGGGCAGACAUUCUGCGGCCUCUCUGCUGCUGAUCCUGUUCUGCGGGUAUUCCACGCUGUUGACCUUGGUUUUUAUUGCUGCUUGACGCUAUUGUAGGCUUUAGUUAUAACGUUGAGCGGUCUAAAAACGACAAGGUUGGAACCUAAUGAUGAACAAUGUCUUUUAUCAGCGGGGGACAUCCAUGAUGCUAUUCCGAGAAUAGGCACAAGCGGUGUUGCGGUCAAAAGUCAUUUUAGUUAAGUAAUUUUUUGUUGACUGUUUAUAAAUUUGUUUAAUAGAAAAAGCUGCCAAUGCAAAAUAAAGGAUACAGCUAUCGAG